rnacentral:lncRNA from 1 species
CUCUAUGUGUUAUGUGUUGAGUGAUUUUCUUUUCUGUCACUUACAAAACCCAACUUGCUCUUAGAAGCACAAAGCCAGCUAACUGAACUGUCACUGCUCAGAUUUUACGUAUUGCUCAUGUGAAGAAUAAACAUAUGAACCAGCUGCUCCAAGACAUUUUCAUACAAAGAUUCACCUCUCUGCUCCUUAGACAGAUCUUGGUUUGAAUCAAUAUGUUGAAUAAAAUUUUACUUGAAUCUCCUUGAUUUUAACCGUAAAUGUCCAGUUAUUAUACUACAAGUUAACAAAAUAAUCAAUUUCUUCAAUGUACUCUGUUUGAAUAACAAUUCUUGCAGAGUCCGCCCUUUUCAUGAAUUGAGUUUCCCACUCCAAGCCCAUAAAAGUUCCUCAAGUGGCAGCUAUAUCACCCAUUGUUUUUCCUAGUCCAUACUUGAAGCGGAAUAUCAAAACAUUCCAGCCAUAUGUACCUCUCAUAGCUCUUACUCUCCUCCUCCAUGCAUUAAACUUUUUCAAAAUACUUGCCUAGAUUGUCUGUUCCUUCUUUCUUUCAAUUUGUAGGAUCCUCCUUCAUUGCGCAAAUUAUAUUGAAAUUAAUAAUAAUAACAAAAAAGUUUCUUAAUUACAUGCAAAACAGAUCAAUUGACCAAUUUAUAGUCCUUUGUUCACUAUUUGGAAAAAUAACAAUUAGAGAAUUGAUCAGUGAAUAUCAUUUUGAUCAACAUCUUCCAUUUCAUCCUAACAAGCAAUAGAAUUACAAAUUAAUUUGUCUGACACAUUCCAAACAUAGUUGAAAUUCACAUUGUGCACAUUCGAGUACUAAUUUGACGUCUUGGUCAUCCCGAGGACGGAUUAAUCUACAACGACUACAUGGGGAUAGAUAAUCGAUAUUUUUGUUUUGAACAAAUGUUAGGAUGUGUGGAUGAAUAUCAAGUACUAGUAGUGUACUCCCUAACUUGACAUUAUGAGGUGGAUGAAGGCAAUAGGUAUGAAAAGAUUGAUCGCAUUCACCAGAAUGAUAGAGCCAAAAUUUUGGGUCUACUUCCUCCUCGCAGAUCUCGCAGUAAAUAAUGCCUUCAUAAAAGAAAGGAGGGUAUUUCAAGUGAAUGGGGUGAGGAUCCCAUCUAUGUCUGACCCUACUUGGAUAUUGUGCGCAAUGUAUAUGAAUUCUAUAACUGUUGCAGGUUUCACACAUGAAUUCCAGGUUCGAAAAGGUUAACAGGCCACAUACCUUGCACCGAUAGGGCAUGUAUGGUGCAUGUUGAACUAGGGGGUGCUUGUGAGAGUCAUGUUUGAUCUUGGUAGGUAGAAAAGCACAACCAGUAUCAACCGUGAUAUGACAAGUCUCACACCGAUAACAGAAUCCAUUGGUCGACAAGCUACAAGUGGCACAUUGGACAAGGUUAAAAAAUUUAUCAACUCUAUGCUUUGAGAGGGAAUGUUUCGGGUGGUGUGGGCAUUCUCCUACAGGCAACUCUGGUGGCAGCUCGGCACAAACUCUGUGAAGAAAGAAACUGCAUCCAAUACAACCAUAAAAUGGAUGGGCAGUCGAGACGGGUUUUACACACCCAUCGCAAAGAAUUUCAUCAUCAUUAUUCUUAAAACUUUGAUCAAAUUCUUCCGGGAGGAGUAAUGCAUGCUCCCUAUGGCUCUCGUGGUAGAUCAAGUGAUCAGGCGUUGUUGCUAUGAUCAUUUUUUCAGUACCUUAUUCUUCGCCUAGAUUAAUAAUAUUGGUCUUGCCAAUAUGGUCUGUUAUUAGAUCCAAUAACGAUUCCUUAUUAUCCACCGGAAAGUGUAUCAAAUUAGGUAUGUUAUGGUCUGCUGAAAUCUCUUCUUCACAAUAUCUGAAACCACAAAUCAAAUUAAUUAUAUAUGCCAUGCUAGACUAGUAAUACAUUAAGACGUCAGUGAUAAAAGAUGAAAAGAAAGAAAGAAAUAAAAAUAGUAAAACAAACCAAAUAAUUACUAAUUAGCACGCACCUUGAAGAAUAUUCUUCCUCCGACAAUUUACCACAUUCCAUGUGCACAUAAUAUCUACAUUUAUCACAAUAGUAAACCCAAGAGUUUUCCCACACUUCUUUGUUGCAGAGGCAGCAAAGUGGGGUACUCUUACGAUCCAUGAGAGGAAGAGAAUAUUUGAGGGAUAGAGGGUGAGGGUGAAAACUAGGUGCGACGGUGCUUGGUGAAAAAGCACAAGUAUUGUGGAUCCAAAAUGCACAUGCGUGACAUGCAUAAGACAUGUCCUCAGCUUUCAUGCCGCAAGCAUCACAUAAAAACAGGGCUUCCCUAGGCAAUAAGGAUAAUUUGUGCUUGUGUCCUUCAUGACGAAUCAAUGGAUCUUUACAUGUCAAGCACGUGUUAAAGUCACAAGAAAAACAAGUGUACGUGAACCAAUUGUAAUUGCGUCUACAACUAUAACAAGUGUUCAUAAAACUUACGUCGAGGGUAAGAGGAUGUUGAUCGUGUAGAGGGUGUUGAAUUUCAUCAGGUAAUUCUGCACAGGUUUUGUGCAGGCAGUAACCACAACCAACUCUAGUGCAUAUAUAUACUGCAGCAUAACCAGAGGCGAGGCGGCCUCCAAGGACUGGCUUUCGACACCCAUAACACACAACUAAUUCCUUUCCAAUAUGUUGAAUUAGCUCCACCUGCUCUUUGAGUAUCAGUGGGUGCUCAUGGGUAACAUGUUGAAGCUCCAUCCCAAAAUCAAAAUGUAUGUGUGGACAGUUAAUUUGAUGGUUUAAUUUGAGCAAAUUAAAUACACAAGAUAGCGGAUCCCAGCCCUCCCUCCCUAUAUAUCCAAGUGUUUGUUUAUUCAUUCUCCAAAAAUAUCCAAACUCUAUUUAAUAGUAACAACUACCAAUGCAACUAUCAAACAUGACUGACAAAUUAAGUGACACCAAUAAUGCAUGUCACAGCUAGCAAUAAAUGCAUUUCACAGCUAGCAAUAGUUAUUAACAGUGGCGGAACCGGAAUAUUUUUAGAGGGGAUCAAAAUACAUCACUAAUUUUUUUUUUAUUUUUUAUUUAUUGACGUUUAGAGUGCUUUUUUCAAAUUCAUUUUGCCUAAUUAUAUUAUUUCACAACAUCCUAUUCCAACCCUUGUCGGCCUUUGAAUUGUGAAUCUAAUGACUUUAAAUACACACACACAUAUAUAGAGUCCGGUUCCUAUCCAGACUCCCAGAUUUUCUUAAAAUACGGACCUUUUUUUUUUUUGCUUUUUUUUAAAACAACUAAAAAAAUAUAUAUUUUAUGGAACUGGAAUUUUUAUAUAAUACAGUGUUUUGGAUACGUAUAACAAAACAGGUCUGUACAGUCUGUGCAGACUGUACAUAUAUUUUUUGGUAUAGGUAUCCAAAUCACGUCCAAAACGUUGUAUUAUGAAAAAAUUUCAGUUCCAUAUAAUAUUAAAUUUUUUUUAGUUGUUUUAAAAAAAAAUAAAAAAUUUGGGUCCGGAUUUGAUCAGGUCCGAGAGUCCGGACCUGAUCCGUGGUCUAUAUAUAUAUAUAUAUAUAUAUAUAUAUAUAUAUAUAUUAAUUUCCUCCGAACUAUGAGACUAUUAAUCAGACUUUGAAGUUUUUAGUCAACUAAUUAGCUAUUUUUGUGGAUAAAUUAUAAAUUAUAAUAUUAUACAUUCAUAACUUUAUAUUCUAGUUUUGGUUAUCUUCCUUGGAUACAACUGAGACGAGCCACUCAAAGUAAGAAAAUGAAUUAAGUUAUUAUGAUUUACAAAAAAUUGAUACCAAUGUAUGAUUAAAUCAACAAGACAAAUGAGUGCAAUAUUAAUUAAUUAAUUAAUUAUCAAACUUAUUUAACAUUAUUUUAUCUUAAAAUAAUAUUGUUAAUUUAUUAUAGGUGGAAGGACAUAAAAAAACAAAUGAAUUAAUUAAUAUCAUCUCAUAACAAAGAUCAAAUUUAACUAACAUUAACAUAUUUCAGAUUCUUGAGUUGGGGGGUCAUAUGACCCUCCUAGACCCCUCUAGUUCCGCCAGUGGUUAUUACUCAUUUUUUUUUAUCAAUUUGAUCUAAAUUAAAGCUGUCAACCUUGAUAUACUCCCUCUGUACUUAAUAUAAGUUGUUUUAGAGUUGUGCACAAAUAUUAAAGAAAUGAUUAUAUAACAUUAAAUAUAAUAUUAAAUGUCUAUAUUACCCUUGUAUUGAAAAAAGAAUUGUUAUUUAUUAAUUGGGCAAAAAAUAGUAAGAGAGCCAAAAUUAUAUUUAAUAUUUGAGGUAAUAUUAAAAAUUAAACAAUUAAUGCUUACUUGAAAUUCUAUAACGUCAUAUAUUAAGGGACAAAAAAAUUUCCUCUAAAACGUUUUAUAUUAAAGGACUGAGGGAGUAAUAAUUUUCAAAUUAACUUAAAUCACUAAAACAUAACUCUUAUAUUUGAAAAAAAAGUACAAUCUUAUAAUUUUUGAUAUAUAUAUAUAUAUAUAUAUAUAUAUAUAUAUAUAUAUUAUAUCUUUGAAUAAAUCUUAAGGGCGCCGUUUGUGUAAGUUGGCAUGACCUUUUAUGUAAGUUGGGCUGGAUUCAAUAAUAAUUUUGUGAUCCAAGUAAUGCAACUUUCAUAUAGUUGGUUGUUGUGAUAUACUCUCUCCGUUGUCAAAUAUAUAAUAAUUAUUAAUUUUUUAAAGUUAAUAUAAAAUAUUUUUAAAUUCAUAAUUGUCAUAAUUUUUUUUUAAUUUUUACAAGUGCAAUAAUAAUAUUAUAAACUAUUUAAAACUAUUACUUAGUGUAAGAGUUAUUAGUUUUAAAAUUUCAACAAAAAUCUCAAUUUCGAAUUUCAAAAAUAUUUCAAAUUAACUUUGUAACACCCUUAAAUUCGGGUUCCUUGAACAUCGGGUCUGAUGCGUCACAGUCCAACUUCGUAUUAUUUUUAUUUCAUUAUUUUACAACAUAACUAAUGAAAUUCAUAAAUUUUAAUUUUUUUACAACAUUCAAUAUCAUUAUAGAUAUUAAAACUCGGUUAUUUAGAACUUUAUAACAUACCGUAUUCCAGAAUUACAAUAUUUAUACAUUACCUUACAACUCAAUAUCAUAUAUACGUACAAUGAUUUAUUUUAUUACAUUAAUGAUUUGUACUAAUCUAUCACUCAUAUACAUAAAUGAACAAUACAUUGUAGUGGUACCUAUCCGCUUUAAAUGUUAUCCUAACAUUUCAAUUAUACCAUUUGAUAACACUGUUUACCCCCAAAAAGGGUUUAUCAGGAUAUUUAGAGCAUGCAUCACAAUUAUAUUCAUGUAUCACAAUAUAUGCAUAUUGGAUAUUUAGAAUAUGUAUUAUAUAAUUCGUAUGUAAUACAUGUUUCACGUACUAGACAUGAUUCAUUUUAUCAUACAUUGUGAUACCACUACAGUACAAGCGGAUAGGUACCAUUUUAUCAAUACAUUAUAAAGUUCAAGAAGAACAGUUCAACUGAAUAUAACAAUCAACAACAAUAGUUUAUAACAUAUUAUAACAUAACAACACAUUAUCACAUAACAACAUUUUGCACAGGAGCAAGUUCUGAAAAACUUGCCUGUAUCGGGGUUUAACUAAUACGUUAAUCUUUUGCGUUCCUUGCAAGACCUACACUGUAUGUGAGAUCAACAAUGCACACUAUUAGUCAAAGCUUCACUCUAACCGUUAAUCUUAUUUUAAAACCUUAUCUUAACUUAUCAUUUCUUGUAUUGCCUUUAUAUGCAUUCGACUGUGUUAUUUAAAUAACUCAGUUCUAUAUCCAACUUCAUUACUAUAUGUGCUAGCUUAUUGCACUUGUAGUUCAAUGUGUGUAUAUCAAAGGGAUGCAUACAUAGCCAACAUAUGUUAGAAUUUGAGCCAAAAUUGAAUGUUGUUUCAUUAAUUAUUUAAAGUGCAUCCACAUAUCAAUGUGUUUUACUCUAUUAGUAGAUCAAAGUCAAGUAUUUGGUAUCUCAAAUCCAUGUGAUAAUCAAUGAGAAAUUAACUCCCAAAGAUCACCUUUAGAAAUGAUAAUAAAUACUUAUGGGAAGCUAAGUCCCACAUCAAUUAAUAACUAAACUUUAAAUAGGUUUAUAUACAAUACAGUUGCUCUUAGGUUUGAGCCCCAAGGGGCACUUCACUUUUAUGGAAGGGAGAUAACCUAGCCAAGACUUGGUCCGAAUCCACAAGAGCGCCAUUGCUGACCGACUAGCUGGGCUCGGGCUCAUUGUAUGUAUUUUUGGAUAAAAAUUAUUUAAAUAAAUUUUAUUUUAUUUUAGUUCUAUUAUCAAAACUGUGUCCUGCCUAACGGACGUGCCAAUAUUGCGUCAUUUUGGGAAACGCUAUUUGCCCGAACGGACGCCCCAAAACUACGUCGUGUUUGCUUGUAUGGAAGCACCCUUUCUACCAAGCCUAAAACUACGUCGUGUUUGGCCCGAACGGACGCGUCCUUUCUGCUAUAUCUAAAAACUACGUCAUUUUUGGCUAAAGGUGUCUUUUCAAGGGGUUGUGGCCCCAUCUGAUGGGUCACUAAUCACUCCUAUAAAUAGCCUAGGGAGGGUCAACCUUUUCAUUCAUUCAAUUCACAAGCAUUCACAUAUUAUUAGUCAUUCAUGUCUUCAUUUGUUCAUCAGUAUUUCAUAGUUAUUCUUGAGAGAAAGUCAGAGCAUUUAUUUUGGUUCGUUGAGUAUAUUAUUUGUAAUGCUGUUAUAGUAUACAUUGUCAUUGUAUCCUGGAAGACAAGUGCUAUUAACUAUGAGCACUGUAAGGAGGACAUAAUUGUUUUAAUGACAUAGUACCAAGUACUAGCCUUGACAUAUCUUGCAUUUCAACUUUGGUUCACAAGAGAUAAGUUUAUAUAUAUAUAUAGUCUUUGUCCAUUCAGUUUUCAUAACAAUCUUAAGAAAAUUAUCUUCAAUAUAUAUAUAUAUAUAUAUAUUUGCAAUAAAUAUGGCUGUCGAUUCUAUUAUUAUAGUCGGUUCUUCUUCUACACCAAUAAUUUCAAAUGUGCCUGUGAACCGUAGGAAAAAAUCUAAAAGGUUCAAUGAUACAAAAUUUAAAAUAUGACAACAAAAGACGUUGUUUUAUCUCACUACUCUUAACUUGACAAGGUUCUUUGUGAAGACUUCCCCAGUGCUUAGUGAGAAUGAAAUAGACAAACACGUUUUGUGGCAAUAAAUACAUGGAAACAUGUUGAUUUUUUGUGUUGAAACUACAUCCUCAAUGGAUUGGGUAACACAUUAUAUAAUGUAUAUAGUUCUCUCAAGACAGUAAACGAAUUAUUGAAUUCCUUGGAUAAAAAGUAUAAAACAGAAGAUGAUGGCAUGAAGAAGUUCGAAGUUGGCAGGUUUUUGGAUUACAAGAUGGCAGAUUCUAAGGCUGUCAUCAACCAAGUCUAAGAAUUACAAGUAAUCCUGUAUGAAAUACUUGUAGAAGGUAUGUCCUUAAGUAAAUCUUUCUAAGUUAUUGCUAUUAUUGAAAAACUAUCACCAAUGUGAAAAGAUUUCAAGAAUUAUCUCAAGUAUAAACGCAAAGAGAUGAAACUUGAAGACUUAUUCGUGAGAUUAAGGAUUGAAGAAGACAACCGUGCUUUUGAGAAGAAAGUAGGAAAGACCUUUGUGGAAUAUAAAGCCAACAUGGUGGAACAAGGUCAAAAGACUAAAAAGAGAAAGCAUUUCGGCAAUGGGCCUCAAUAGGGAAUGAAUAAAAAAUUCCAAGGCAAGUGCUACAUUUGUGACAAGCCCAGACAUAGGAAAAAGGAUUGGCGUAACGCAAAGACCAGAACAAGAAGUCUGCAUAAGCCAAUGUAACGGAAGUGGAUGGGCUUCUUAAGAAUGUUUCUAAAAUGAACCUAUCAGCGGUUGUUUCUAAAUCCUAGGGAAUGAUGGGUUAAUACUGGAGUAACCCGCCAUGUGUGUUCUGACAGGAAGAUGUUCUCCACAUAUGACAAAAUUCCUUCCAACGACUGGCUUUCGACACCCAUAACACACAACUAAUUCCUUCCCAAUAUGUUGAAUUAGCUCCACCUGCUCUUUGAGGAUCAGUGGGUGCUCAUGAGUAACAUGUUGAAGCUCCAUCCCUAAGUCAAAAUGUAUGUGCGGAGGGUUAAUUUGAGCAAAUUAAAUACACAAGCUAGUGUAUGUUUAUGUUCAAGCUAGCGGCCACCAAUAAUGCAUGUCACAGCUAGCAAUACUUAUUAUAAUUCAUGUGAAUCUAAUCUAAAUUAAAGCCGUCAGACUUGACUGAUAAAAUAUAUGAUAUGAAACUGAUUUAAAUAUGUAGGUUAAUUAAGGUUCCAAUGCGCUAUGAAUUCAAAUGAAAUGGAAAUGAAACAUGAAAUUAAAUGGCAAUUUGCUUUGUUGGAAAUUAUUGUUUGGGUCCUUAUUUAAUUUUAAUCAAGACGAAUUUACUUUCCCCUUCUAUUUUAAAAUAUAAAAUUAUUAUUGAAUUUUUAAUUUUCAAAUUUAAAAUUGAAAUAAUUUAUCAAAAAUUACAAAAUAAUAAAUAUUACUCCACUUUUUUGAUAGUUCAAUUUUAAGUUUAAAAAUAUCUCAAAUUAUUUUUAAAAACUAAUAAUAAUUUUAUAAUUUGGAAUGAAUAAAAUAUUAAAAAAUUAAUAUUUUUAUAUGUAAAAAUAUUCGUUUUACAAAAUAUAUAAAAAUAAAUAAUUUGCAUAGUUUACAACUUUUAACAACGUGACCAGGUACAAGUCCAGUUGACUUGCCUGUUAAUAGCCUUAUUAAAGUACUCCAUCCCUUACACUUGGGCUUUAAAAUAGAACAAUAAUGCAUGUCACAGCUAGAAAUAAUUAUGUAAUUCAUAUGACUAAAACGUUUAAAUCCCAAAUCUAGGUCUUCAAUAAUUAUUAAUUCAUAUGAAUCUCAACUAAAUUAAUUAAAGACUUUCGUUUUCUUGUAAGUGAAAUUUUAGGUGGAAACGUGAACAUGAAUCACUAUACACGCGUAAGUUGAUUGAAUAAUUUAAUUUAUUUAUUUAAUACAUUUGAGCAGGACAAGGUCAUAAUUUUUUUCUAGGUAGGUCGAGACAUGAUAUUACAAGGUCAUAUAAACUAAACAAAUCGAGCCUAGUUGAGUUAAGCCCGAUUUGUUAACCUUUUCAUUAUUAAAAAAAUAUUAAUUAUGUAUUAAACUAGGCAGACUUGAGUCGAACACCACCUGCUUUUCAAACUUAACCCAUUUAAGUAAAUAGAUAAAUUAGUUUGUUCGAGAGUUCGACUCAUUUAACUAAACUAGAGACAAAAGAGCUUAUUUAAAUCUGGAUGACAGAAUUGGAAAGUGUUUUGAAAUGUGAAAUUGAAUUGCUAAUAUUUUUCCAACAGCUAACAAGGACAGCAUAAACAAUAGAAGCCAGCUCACAAUAAUAUUGGCCACCUUAAUUUUAUGUUCACCUCACCUCACUUCACUUAUUAUUAUGAAUGUAUUCUCUUUUCUCUACCUCUUUUAUCACUUCACACAAUAUACAUAUUCCCUUGUCAUUUCUGUUUGAUUAAUAUUAAAGGCCACAAAGAAAGAUAUAUUCAAGAGAAAAAUAAUGGAAAUAAUUGGGCGGGUAGGUUGUAUAUCCCCUAGAGCAACAAAUUAAUAAUAAUCACAAAAAGUUUCUUAAUUACAUGCAAAACAGAUCAAUUAACUAAUUUGUAGUCUUUUGUUCAAUAUUUGAAAAAAUAAUAAUUAGAGAAUUGAUCAGUGAAUAUCUUUUCCAUCAACAUCUUCCAUUUCAUUCUAACAAACAACAGAAUUACAAAUUGGUUUCUCUGACACAGUCCAAACAUAGUAGAAAUUCACAGCGUGCACAUUCGAGCAUUAAGCUGAUGUUAAAUCCUGUAAAGCGAAAGUUAUCACAACGGCUACAUAAUUGGGACAGAUAAUCGCUAUAUGUUUUUUGAGCAAAUGUUAGGAUGUGUGGAUGAAUAUCAAGUACUAGUAGUGUACUCCCUAACUUGACAUUAUGAGGUGGAUUAAGGCAAUAGGUAUGAAAAGAUUGAUCGCAUUCACCACAAUGAUAGAGCCAUAAUUUUGGGUCUACUUCCUCUUCGCAGAUCUCGCAGUAAAUAAUCCCUUGAUAAAAGAAAGGAGGGUAUAUCAAGGGAAUGGGGUGAGGAUCCCAUCUAUGCCUGACCCUACUUGGAUAUUGUGCGCAAUUUAUAUCAAUUCUAAAACUGCUGCAGGUUUUACACCUGAAUUGCGUGCAACGUGAGAUAUCCAGGCCACAUGCCUUGCACCGAGAGAAAUGGGGUGAGGGUGAUGGUGCAUGUUGAACUAGGGGGUGCUUGUGAGAGUCAUGUUUGAUCUUGGUAGGUAGAAAAGCACAACAAGUAUCAACCGUGAAAUUACAAGUCUCGCACCGAAAACAGAAUCCAUUGGUCUUCAAUACACAAACGGCACAUUUGACUAAGUUAAAAAAUUUAUCUACUCUAUGCUUUGAGAGCGAAUGUUCCCGGUGGCAUGGGCAUUCUCCUACAGACAACUCUGGUGGCAACUCGGAACAAACUCUGUGAAGGAAGAAACUGCAUCCAAUACAGCCAUAAAAUGGAUGGGCAGUCGAGAUGGGUUUUGCACACCCAUCGCAAAGAAUUUCAUCAUCAUUGUUCUUAAAACUUUUAAAUUCUUCCAAAAGCAGUAAUGCAUGCUCCCCAUGACUCUCGUGGUAGAUUAAUUGAGGAUUAAUAUAUAUGUGGUCUGUUCUUAGAUCCAAUAAUGAUUCCUUAUUAUCCACCGGAAGAUGUAUCAAAUUAGGUAUGUUAUGGUCUGCAAU